AUGUGGCUCAGUGGCAGAACGCUUGCUUUGAAUGUAGAAUGUCCUGGGUUCAAUUCCUGGUGUCUCUA